GACGAUCUGUGCUUCCCGGCAGGAAAUCAUAUUCCCCGGGGCCUUAUUGAUCCCUAGGGAGCUGUCCCUGGCCGGGCCCGUGGGUUCGGUCAUACGGCGCCCACCUACUUUGUAGGUUCCCGGGAUCGCUUUUCCACCGGUUGUGUGGAUCGUCA
rnacentral:sRNA from 1 species